rnacentral:rRNA from 1 species
UGGGGAAUAUUGCACAAUGGACGGAAGUUUGAUGCAGCGACGCCGCGUGGAGGGUGUAGGCCUUCGGGUUGUGAACUCCUUUUUCUCGCGAAAAAGGCACAGUUUUGGCUGUGUUGAUGGUAGUGGGGGAAGAAGCGCCGGCUAACUACGUGCCAGCAGCCGCGGUAAUACGUAGGGCGCGAGCGUUGUCCGGAUUUAUUGGGCGUAAAGGGUUCGCAGGCGGAAAUGCAAGUCAGUUGUGAAAGGCAGAGGCUCAACCUCUGUAAGCAAUGGAAACUGUAUUUCUUGAGAUGUGGAGAGGCAAGUGGAAUUCCUAGUGUAGCGGUGAAAUGCGUAGAUAUUAGGAAGAAUACCGGUGGCGAAGGCGACUUGCUGGACACAAACUGACGCUGAGGAACGAAAGCGUGGGUAGCAAACAGG